rnacentral:rRNA from 1 species
UCUGCCAGUAGUCAUAAUGCUUGUCUCAAAGAUUAAGCCAUGCAUGUCUAAGUAUAAGCGACUUGUACUGUGAAACUGCGAAUGGCUCAUUAAAUCAGUUAUGGUUUAUUUGAUGGUACCUUACUACUUGGAUAACCGUAGUAAUUCUAGAGCUAAUACAUGCAGGAAUGCCCGACUUCGGAAGGGCUGUAUUUAUUAGAUAAGAAACCAACCCGCUUCGGCGGUUGCGUGCUGAGUCACAAUAACUGCUCGAAUCGCACGGCUUCAUGCUGGCGAUGGUUCAUUCAAAUUUCUGCCCUAUCAGCUUUCGAUGGUAGGAUCGAGGCCUACCAUGGCGUUAACGGGUAACGGAGAAUUAGGGUUCGAUUCCGGAGAGGGAGCCUGAGAAAUGGCUACCACAUCCAAGGAAGGCAGCAGGCGCGUAAAUUGCCCGAAUCCUGACACAGGGAGGUAGUGACAAGAAAUAACAAUACAGGGCCACUUUGGUCUUGUAAUUGGAAUGAGUACAAUUUACAUCUCUUCACGAGGAUCAAUUGGAGGGCAAGUCUGGUGCCAGCAGCCGCGGUAAUUCCAGCUCCAAUAGCGUAUAUUAAAGUUGUUGCAGUUAAAACGCUCGUAGUCGGAUUUCGGGGCGGGUGCGUCGGUCUGCCGUUGGGUAUGCACUGUCGCGCGCGUCCUUCCUUCCGGAGACUGUGCCUACUCUUAACUGAGCGGGUGCGGGAGACGGAUCGUUUACUUUGAAAAAAUCAGAGUGUUUCAAGCAGGCAGCUCGCUCUUGCAUGGAUUAGCAUGGGAUAAUGAAAUAGGACUUUGGUGCUAUUUUGUUGGUUUCGAACACCGAAGUAAUGAUUAACAGGGACAGUCAGGGGCACUCGUAUUCCGCCGAGAGAGGUGAAAUUCUUAGACCAGCGGAAGACGAACCACUGCGAAAGCAUUUGCCAGGGAUGUUUUCACUGAUCAAGAACGAAAGUUAGGGGAUCGAAGACGAUCAGAUACCGUCGUAGUCUUAACCAUAAACCAUGCCGACUAGGGAUUGGAGGAUGUCCAUUUUUGACUUCUUCAGCACCUUACGGGAAACUAAAGUCUUUGGGUUCCGGGGGGAGUAUGGUCGCAAGGCUGAAACUUAAAGGAAUUGACGGAAGGGCACCACCAGGAGUGGAGCCUGCGGCUUAAUUUGACUCAACACGGGGAAACUUACCAGGUCCAGACAUUGGAGGAUUGACAGAUUGAGAGCUCUUUCU